GGUUGCGAUCAUACCAGCACUAAUACACCGGAUCCCAUCAGAACUCCGUAGUUAAGCGUGCUUGGGCGAGAGUAGUACUAGGAUGGGUGACCCUCUGGGAAGUCCUCGUGUUGCGACCC
rnacentral:rRNA from 1 species